UUGGAUCGUUUAUCCAACGACCCGAUCCAACCAGAUUCAAACCCAAAUUAUCCAUUUCGGCCCGCAGGCCCAUAUGUCGCAGCCGUAGGAAAAAUCGCUCCACUCUUCAUUGCUUCAAGCUUUUAGGCUUAGCCAGUUAGCCAUUUGAUUUUCCAAGUUUCCCUUUUCCACUUGGCAUUCUAGUGCCCCUUGUUGGAGUAAUGAUAAGGGUUGCACAAGUUCUUCAAGAGUUUGCUCGAUGUCGAGGUCGUCUGUAGAUCCUCCAUGAGUUCGAUCGGAUUCGAAGCGAUGUUUGGAUCGAAGAGAGUUGACGAUGAGAUGGAGCUCAAGAAGGAGAGAACCGUAAGGUGACUGCGCGCAUCUUUAUUAUUGUUCUUUCUGAGCAAGACCUAGUUUUUUUUAUAAAAAAGAAAAAUCCAAUCUUGAUGCGGUUCUUAGCUUAGGAAUUGAAGCUCGAUAGAACUCAUCGGUGAUUUCAUUCUUUUCGCAUCUAGAAAUGAACAAAACCCUUUACUUCUCUUGGAUUUAUACUUUUACGAACUGAGGGAGAUUUGCAAGAUAACAGUAGGCAAACCCUUGUUGCUUUCCUUUUUUGGAGAAGACGCGGUUAGAAAGUAGAUAUUUGAUGUGGCUAUGACAUUGGGAUUUAAACCCCAACAAAACCUGUUCUCUUAGUGCUAUAGGCUUUGCUUGAAUUUCUUGACUUUGUUUUACAGGAUGAACUGAAAAUUUGAAGAACCUUUAUUGAACUGCUAAUAAUUUUAUGGGUUCAUAUCAGUCAUUUGAUGUUUUUCCUAAUGCAAAUACAGAAUGAAGCAAAAGACACCAUUGUUGUAUCUAACUCAUUGCCAAAAUUUAAGAACUCCCCCCUCUCUCCCUCUUAACAAGUCCAUUUACCAUUGUUGUAACUAACUCAUUUGAGAAAGGUAAUAUUUCCUUCGAUAUUCUCUCCAGUUCAUCUCUCCAUAUCUUAUUUUUUCCCUCCUUUCUUUUUAUUUCUACAACCAGGAUGGGCGCAGGAAUGAAUCUAAAUGUAUCGUGCCUUAU
rnacentral:lncRNA from 1 species